rnacentral:rRNA from 1 species
ACCAGUAGCCAUAUCACCCUGCAGCUCACAACUGACAACCCACUGAAGCAAAGCAGGUGUGAGCCCGCUCAGUACCUGGAUGGGAGACCUCCUGUGAAAAACUACAGCUGCUGCUGGAA